GUGAGGAAUAUUGGGCAAUGGGCGCAAGCCUGACCCAGCAACGCCGCGUGAAGGAAGAAGGCUUUCGGGUUGUAAACUUCUUUUACCAGGGACGAAACAAAUGACGGUACCUGGUGAAUAAGCCACGGCUAACUACGUGCCAGCAGCCGCGGUAAUACGUAGGUGGCGAGCGUUAUCCGGAUUUAUUGGGUGUAAAGGGCGUGUAGGCGGGACAGCAAGUCAGAUGUGAAAACCAGAGGCUCAACCUCUGGCCUGCAUUUGAAACUGUUGUUCUUGAGUGUCGGAGAGGUAAUCGGAAUUCCGUGUGUAGCGGUGAAAUGCGUAGAUAUACGGAGGAACACCAGUGGCGAAGGCGGAUUACUGGACGAUAACUGACGCUGAGGCGCGAAAGCGUGGGGAGCAAACAGGAUUAGAAACCCUAGUAGUCC
rnacentral:rRNA from 1 species